GGAAGGAAUCGGAGGAAGAGAGUGAGUCCAGAUAUGGUCAAAAUGAUCUGAAUUGUGAAAGAAUGGAAAUGGAAAAAGAAGAAAGAAAAGCGAGCGGAAAAGAAGAAGGUUUAUGGAUGUAGAGAAAUGGUAGGAUUAAAAGGACGGAUCUCAGAGCAGAGGUAAACGGAAAUGAGAAAAAUGAGGGAAAAUGGAAGAAAGAGGAAGAAGAAGGUGGUAUAU
rnacentral:misc_RNA from 1 species